UACGUAGGGUGCAAGCGUUAAUCGGAAUUACCGGGCGUAAGCGUGCGCAGGCGGUUGUGCAAGACAGAUGUGAAAUCCCCGGGCUCAACCUGGGAACUGCAUUUGUGACUGCACGGCUGGAGUGCGGCAGAGGGGGGAUGGAAUUCCGCGUGUAGCAGUGAAAUGCGUAGAUAUGCGGAGGAACACCGAUGGCGAAGGCAAUCCCCUGGGCCUGCACUGACGCUCAUGCACGAAAGCGUGGGGAGCAAACAGG
rnacentral:rRNA from 1 species